rnacentral:lncRNA from 1 species
CCUCAGGGAACAGCGUAUGCACGUGAGUUAAGGGAAAUUUCAGAUAUGCGCAGAGUAGGCCCUCUCCAGUGUUUACUUCUCUCCUUAACACUCUUAAGACUUUACCGUUGAAUAUCUUAUCAAAACACGAAGUCUCUGGUAGUUUGACACAUAAACCGGGAAGACUGCGAGGAAGUUGAAGAUUCUACCGUUUUAUUUUUUUCCUUUUCGUCGACUAAGUGGUUGAAAUUCUAAUUUUUCGUACUGUUUUGUCGUUCGUUGCGCGUGGUGAAAUAUAUUGACUGAUGUAAUGUACUCAGAGCAGUUCGAAAGUACAGCAAGCUCACAAUUCACGAGGCAAAGGUGUAACAUGUACAGACAUGUCGGACAUGGAAAGAUGAGUAGUUAGAGGCUGAAAGACAUUUGUAAGAUUUUGUAGACACAACUUGCAUUCUCUUGGUAGAUCAUAAAUUGGUAGCUCCUCCCCAUAGUUCCACACCUUUAGUGCCCCUAGCUGCAUGAAUCUUGGAACUUGUCCAUCAGGUGUACUGGUAACUUCCUAAAUUACUCUGGGUUGAAUGACCUCUGUCCCUCCAGUGCAGAUGUUCCCUUGGCAGAAGCCUUCCAGUGAAGUUUAAGUUUGCGACUAUCUGCUUUUAGUGACUUAAUCAUUUCUGAUCUGACUGGAAUUUCAAGAAGCUUUAAAACCAAAUGCCAGAAAGGACUUUGGUAUCUCUGAUCAGCUCCCAUUCCAAACAACUUAGGAAAAGUUAACAACUCUGCUCCAUGAUCUUUGAUUACUUUAAUUGCUUCUUGUAACAUUGGCCUCUGCACUUGUUUGUGAAAAAGGUUAAUAGCUGCUGGGUCCUUCAGUGACAUCUUCACCUGUUGUGAUGUUAAAGGAAAAUAUUCUGUAGGAGACAUCAGCGUUUUGCUUAAAGUUUCAUGGUGCUUUAGAACUGUUGCUGGCCAUAACCUUGCUAGGUAACCACUGGAGAAUCCAAGUUCUGCAUCACUAGCCUGGGAUGUAUUUAGAGAUGGGAUGAUAAACUUAUCGAGGAAUUCAAACAAAAACUUGAUUUCAACUUGAAUCAUAGGACUGGAGCUCAGCUUAAUGACAUCUUGCCAAAUAGUCUGGUGGCUAUCUGAUUUUGACAAUCUUUCAAGGAGACUCUCAGCGAGCUGUAAACAAGCUUUUCCAUACUUAAGAUACCACUGGAGAGUUUCAUGACAAUAUGUCCACCUUGUGUCAAUGAAUGUCUGGGGAAGGGGUGGCUCUUUACUUAGAAUACCAAGAGAGACAUACAUAACUUUGUAUUGGCUUGGACACUCUGAUGGAGCCAAGAUAUUUUAUAGAGUAAUUGUAAAACAUGGGGGUUGCUCAUGUCACCCUUGGCCCCACACUCAGCCUGGCACAUUCUUCUCAGCAUAAUGUUUAGUACAUGUAGGAAUCAUCCUUUAAAAAAAUCUCUUUUUCAAAAAUUCUGGCAUUGUUAGCUAAAAGACCGUUUACUUUUCCCUUUUGGGUAGAGGCAUUGUUCCCAACCAACCUUGAAACAUUGGUAAUAUCAUAUUCAUUUUUUAUAACAUGGUAAUCUACAUCAGACUGGUGUUUUUCAGACCCACUUGCAGUUAGGCUGUUUCCAAGGACAUAACCUCGUGGCUUGCUCUCUAUGGGACACCAGGUGUGAACACCCACUACGUGCCUCUCCUCUCCUCCUUUGAAGGAGUUAUCGCUCCAGAGAUGAAAAUCGUACUCGGAAUAUGAAUAACUAACGAGAAAUAUUUUUGUAUAUUCAAAAUAAAUAAAUUUAAAACCCACGAUAUAUUAUAAACACCGAUUGUUUUCAAGAAAAUAGCGAAAAGCGCAGUGAAGCAUCGUUAUUAUUCAACUCUAAUUUAAAUUAAUGGAAUUUUGUAUCGUCUCAGUAAAGCAUGCAAGUAGGUGAACAUAGCAAUCAAAUUUCUGGAAGAGUUUUAGCCUCCAGUGAUUUAUCGAUAGCUUUCCACUCUAGCAUUGUAGCAAACAGACGAGCCAUGUUAUAGUUGGCUAUGUCAUAGGAUGUCACGCGUGAAUUUGAUAUUGUUAUUGUGGCGUUACGUAAUGUGUCAUGUUAGGUCGAGUGUGUGACAUCAUGACGUCAACAAAAUCACAUAAUAUGCGAGAAAAAACCUCCGAAAUAUGGUAUCCUUGGCAAUGUACUUUUACAGUGGAUCGAUAUUGUAUGAUUGUAGGUGUUUAGAGUCGGUCUGAUUGUUUACUGGUUCUAGCACAAUAAAGGACAAUUUGCUAUUUAAAACGGA